rnacentral:rRNA from 1 species
UACGAAGGGUGCAAGCGUUAAUCGGAAUUACUGGGCGUAAAGGGUGCGUAGGCGGUUCGUUAAGUCUGUCGUGAAAUCCCCGGGCUCAACCUGGGAAUGGCGAUGGAUACUGGCGAGCUAGAGUGUGUCAGAGGAUGGUGGAAUUCCCGGUGUAGCGGUGAAAUGCGUAGAGAUCGGGAGGAACAUCAGUGGCGAAGGCGGCCAUCUGGGACAACACUGACGCCGAAGCACGAAAGCGUGGGGAGCAAACAGG